AUAUCAUAUUCCCAUUUCUUGAGAACCCAGAAACCAAAAUCCUCUCCGCUCUUGAUUUCUUCUUCAAAAUUGAAAGAAAAUCGAUUGAGAAGCUAUGGAUGAUAACGUGAACAAUUGCUGGUCGGUCGAGAAGCUGAAGUGGGUGGGGACGAGCGUAGCGAUGGCGUUCUUCGCCUCCUUGGAACGUUGUUCUUGCAUUAAUCUCUCUACCUCUGAUGACGCUGAGGAUGCGGAGGAGGCUCACGAUCGGCCUCUCAUGUUCUGCAAUUCAAUCUCCAAUUCCUCUGUUUCCUCUGCUUCUUCCAUGGGUCACAACACCAAUCCAAACGGGGUCGUCUCCUUCUCCUCGUAAGAAGAUAUGAAACCCAAAAUGUUGAUUGAUUUGAUGUUUGGAUGGGAAAAUUUUAAUUGGGAUUUUGAAUAAUUCUCCAUGUGUUUGUUUUGUUGUAUGAAUUUGGUAUUUGGGAGGAUUUCCUUUUGGAUUUUGUUAGAUUUGUGAGAUUGUGUCUCUGUUUGGGUUUCAAUUUUGUUGUAUGAUUUCAAAACAACUUUCAUUUCUUUUCUUUUUCUUUGUAUUUUUCUUUUUGAUGUAAUUAUGAUCUAGAUUGUAAAAACUAUCACAAAUUUCCUUAUGAAUGAAUGUAAAAUUCCC
rnacentral:misc_RNA from 1 species